rnacentral:rRNA from 1 species
UACGUAGGUGGCAAGCGUUGUCCGGAAUUAUUGGGCGUAAAGCGCGCGCAGGUGGUUUCUUAAGUCUGAUGUGAAAGCCCACGGCUCAACCGUGGAGGGUCAUUGGAAACUGGGAGACUUGAGUGCAGAAGAGAAGAGCGGAAUUCCACGUGUAGCGGUGAAAUGCGUAGAGAUGUGGAGGAACACCAGUGGCGAAGGCGGCUCUUUGGUCUGUAACUGACGCUGAGGCGCGAAAGCGUGGGGAGCGAACAGG